AGAUUAUACAGGAGAUUGAAGGUGAAAUUAUUAAAAGGCAUUUACUAAUUGCCCUUUUAGCAGAGUCCAUUGUCAUGCACAGCUUCUCCAAAAUAAGCAGGAAGUGAUUAGUUACAGAAGGAGCCUCAGAUAUUGCUCACAAGCCUCCUGCAGUGACUAUGUGGUGUAGUUAAAGUCUAGAAAUUACAAAUGUUUUGUGGCCAACACGAAACUUAUCUGUGAGUCAUUGCCUGGGGGGCUUACUUGGACAAGGGCUGAGAGAAUUACCAGUAGCUUGAACAGCUUAAGGGCGGGACCAAGUACAGAAUGAAGCUCAGACUCUGAAGAAUUUGCACUACUAAGGUGUGUACACAACAUGAAGGUGGCCAUCUGCAAGCCAAAAAGAGAGCCUUUACCAGAACCUGACCAUUGCUGGCACCCCAAUCCUGGAUGAUCCAGCCUCUAGAACUAUGAGAAAUAAAUUUCUGCUGUUCAAGCAACCCAGUCUAAGAUAUUUUUGUUGUAGCAGCCUGAACUGCCUAAAGAAACUGUGGUCUUGUAAAUUUCUCCAACAUCAUCUCAAAUCACUCUCCGAAUUGCUCUUGUCCAGGCAUGUAGGUCUCCCUGUGUUCCCAGAGCAUGAGAAUUCACUUCCUUCCCCAGAGGCUCUGAACUCUCUAUCUCCUCUGUCUUAAUCAUACUCUAGUUCUUCACCUACCUGGCUCCUUCUCAUCCUUCAGGUAUCUUACAUAGCACCUCCAGAAUGAGCAACACAUUUCAUGACCAUUCUGUCUAAAACCAUACCUUUCCUGUUUACUCAGUUACCAUAAUUAAUGAUUUUAUUUCCUUCACUAAACUUUUCACAAUCUGUAACUGUUUUAUUUUUAAUUAUUUAAUAGGGCAUUGCUUGUCUCCAACAUAUAAAUAUAAGUUUCAUAACUGUGUAAGUAUCUUCUGUGUCUUUGUCACCCUGCUAUUCUUUCUGCCAAUUACAGUGCAUGACACAAAGUGUUAUUUAAAAAUAUUUGUUGAAUGAGUGAAUUGUAUGGAUAAGCUCUUAGAAAAACAAAUAUACAGGUAUGUGCAUGUGUGUACUGUGAGUUAAUCAUACUAUUUCUCAAUAAGUAGACCAAAAGAAUCUUAUUUACAGAACUCUAAGGCAUUUUUUCACAAGUAUUGCUAACUUAUGACUAUAAAACACCAUGUUGUUGCCCUUGAG
rnacentral:lncRNA from 1 species